rnacentral:rRNA from 1 species
UGUUAAGCUACUAAGGGUGUACGGUGAAUGCCCUGGCAUCAGCAGGCGAAGAAGGACGUAGCUAGCUGCGAUAAGCCUCGGGGAGCCGCAAGCAGGCCGUGAUCCGAGGAUGUCCGAAUGGGGAAACCCAGGCGAUGAAUGCCGCCUAUCCUCUUCUGAAUACAUAGGAAGAGAGAAGCCCACGUAGGGAAGUGAAACAUCUCAGUACCUACAGGAAGAGAAAUCAAUAGAGAUUCCCCCAGUAGUGGCGAGCGAAAAGGGAAUAGCCCAAACCGGAGUGAUGUCAAGCCCGUAGGCGUUGUCACUCUGGUGUUGUAGGCCUCUGUCGGACGGUCUUACGGGACUGUCGGCAAGUCAAAAAUCAGGAUAUUAGCAGAACGGUCUGGAAAGGCCGGCCAUAGAAGGUGAUAGCCCUGUCGGCGAAAAUAUCCUGACUUGCUGGAUAGAGGUCCUGAGUACCACGGGGCUCGAGUAACCCAGUGGGAAUCCGGGACGACCACGUUCCAAGGCUAAAUACUCGCUGAUGACCGAUAGCGCACCAGUACCGUGAGGGAAAGGUGAAAAGAACCCCGGUGAGGGGAGUGAAAUAGAACCUGAAACCGUACACCUACAAGCAGCGAAAGGGCUAUGCCCGCAAGGGAAUGCCUGAUCGCGUGCCUUUUGCUUAAUGAGCCUGCGAGUUAUUCUGCGUAGCAAGGUUAAGGCGCAAAGCCGGAGCCGUAGCGAAAGCGAGUCCGAAUUGGGCAUUAAGUUGCGUAGAUUAGACCCGAAGCGGAGUGAUCUACCCAUGGCCAAGGUGAAUCCGCAGUAACAUGCGGAGGAGGCCUGAACUGAUGUUUGUUGCAAAAAGCUCGGAUGAGCUGUGGGUAGGGGUGAAAGGCUAAUCAAACUCCGUGAUUGCUGGUUCUCCCCGAAAUAACUAGAGGGUUAGCCUCGUGACAGCCGUGGCGGAGGUAGAGCACUGGAUGGGCUAGGGGCGUUCCAACGCUACUGAACCCAACCAAACUCCGAAUGCCGCUACUGGACGCACGGGAGUUAGACUACGGGUGCUAAGAUCCGUGGUCGAAAGGGAAAUAGCCCAGACCGUCAGCUAAGGUCCCUAAGAGUGAGCUAAGUGGAAAAGGUUGUAAGGUCGCUCAGACAGCCAGGAGGUUGGCUUAGAAGCAGCCAUCCUUUAAAGAGUGCGUAAUAGCUCACUGGUCGAGUGGUGUUGCACCGACAAUAAACGGGGCUCAAGCCCGUCGCCGAAGCUAGGGAUUCCGACGUGAGUCGGGAUGGUAGGGGAGCAUUCUCCUGGCAGAGAAGCCUGAGGGUGACCGAGGGUGGAGCGAGGAGAAGAGAGAAUGCCGGCAUGAGUAGCGAUAACCCUGGUGAGAACCCAGGGCACCGAAAGCCUGAGGAUUCCUACGCAAGGUCAGUCCGCGUAGGGUUAGUCGGGCCUAAGCCUAAGGCCAAGGCCGAUGGCGAUGGAUAGCAGGUUAUUAUUCCUGCACCACCCUAUUGGAGGCAGCUGGGGGACACGGGGGAGAUGCCUGAGCCUGCCCAUGGACAUGGCAGGUUCCGCCGCAAGGUGGAGGAGUCCUUCCUGCAAGGGAAGGGUGACUUCGGUUGUCGAACUCG